UACGGGGGGGGCAAGCGUUGUUCGGAAUUACUGGGCGUAAAGGGUUUGUAGGUGGCCGGCUAAGUCAGACGUGAAAUCCCUCAGCUUAACUGGGGAACUGCGUCUGAAACUGAUCGGCUCGAGUGCAGGAGAGGAACGCGGAAUUCCAGGUGUAGCGGUGAAAUGCGCAGAUAUCAGGAGGAACACCGGUGGCGAAGGCGGUUCUCUGGGCAUUACCUGACGCUGAGGUGCGAAAGCGUGGGGAGCGAUCCGG
rnacentral:rRNA from 1 species